AAAGUGGAGCAAUCCAUGAGUACAGUGGCGUACGGGUGAGUAACACGUGGGUAAUCUACCUCUUAGUGUGGAAUAACUCUGGGAAACUAGAGCUAAUACCGCAUAAGCUCGAGAGAGGAAAGCAGCAAUGCGCUGAGAGAGGAGCCCGCGGCCGAUUAGCUAGUUGGCAGGGUAAAAGCCUACCAAGGCAUAGAUCGGUAGCCGGCCUGAGAGGGCACACGGCCACACUGGCACUGAAACACGGGCCAGACUCCUACGGGAGGCAGCAGUGGGGAAUCUUGCACAAUGGGGGAAACCCUGAUGCAGCGACGCCGCGUGAGCGAUGAAGCCCUUCGGGGUGUAAAGCUCUUUCGGCAGGGAAGAUAGUGACGGUACCUGCAGAAGCAGCUGCGGCUAACUACGUGCCAGCAGCCGCGGUAAUACGUAGGCAGCGAGCGUUGUUCGGAGUUACUGGGCGUAAAGGGUGUGUAGGCGGUUGUUUAAGUUUGGUGUGAAAUCUCCCGGCUCAACUGGGAGGGUGCGCCGAAUACUGAAUGACUAGAGUACGGGAGAGGAAAGUGGAAUUCCUGGUGUAGCGGUGAAAUGCGUAGAUAUCAGGAGGAACACCGGUGGUGUAGACGGCUUUCUGGACCGUAACUGACGCUGAGACACGAAAGCGUGGGUAGCAAACAGGAUUAGAUACCCUGGUAGUCCACGCCCUAAACGAUGCAUAUUUGGUGUGGGCAGUUCAUUCUGUCCGUGCCGGAGCUAACGCGUUAAAUAUGCCGCCUGGGGAGUACAGUCGCAAGGCUGAAACUC
rnacentral:rRNA from 1 species